UACCAGCACCCCGAGUGGUCGGGACGAUUAUUGGGCCUAAAGCAUCCGUAGCCGGUUCUGCAAGUCCCCCGUUAAAUCCAGCUGCUCAACAGAUGGGCCGCGGAGGAUACUACAGAGCUAGGAGGCAGGAGGAGGCAAGCGGUACUCAGUGGGUAGGGGUAAAAUCCGUUGAUCCAUUGAAGACCACCAGUGGCGAAGGCGGCUUGCCAGAAUGCGCUCGACGGUGACGGGAUGAAAGCUGGGGGAGCAAACCGG
rnacentral:rRNA from 1 species